rnacentral:ribozyme from 1 species
GUUCGGUCCUCGAUGAAACCCCUGGCCAGGGUUGAGGGGGAAGAACGCCAGGGAAACAUGCAUCGGCGCUCACGUAGGAGCGUCGUUGUAGCACAUUAACUGGC